rnacentral:tRNA from 1 species
CCUUCGAUAGCUCAGUUGGAAGAGCGCAAGACUGUAAUGGAUAAAUCAUCUUGCGGUCGCUGGUUCGAACCCGGCUCGAAGGA